rnacentral:rRNA from 1 species
GAGUUUGAUCAUGGCUCAGAUUGAACGCUGGCGGCAGGCCUAACACAUGCAAGUCGAACGGUAGCACAGAGAGCUUGCUCUCGGGUGACGAGUGGUGGACGGGUGAGUAAUGUCUGGGAAACUGCCUGAUGGAGGGGGAUAACUACUGGAAACGGUAGCUAAUACCGCAUAACGUCGCAAGACCAAAGAGGGGGACCUUCGGGCCUCUUGCCAUCAGAUGUGCCCAGAUGGGAUUAGCUAGUAGGUGGGGUAACGGCUCACCUAGGCGACGAUCCCUAGCUGGUCUGAGAGGAUGACCAGCCACACUGGAACUGAGACACGGUCCAGACUCCUACGGGAGGCAGCAGUGGGGAAUAUUGCACAAUGGGCGAAAGCCUGAUGCAGCCAUGCCGCGUGUAUGAAGAAGGCCUUCGGGUUGUAAAGUACUUUCAGCGGGGAGGAAGGCGAUAAGGUUAAUAACCUUAUCGAUUGACGUUACCCGCAGAAGAAGCACCGGCUAACUCCGUGCCAGCAGCCGCGGUA